UCCCCAGUGGCGCAAUCGGUUAGCGCACGGUACUUAUAAGACAGUAAUUCUGUGAGCAAUGCCGGGGUUGUGAGUUCGAGCCUCACCUGGGGAA
rnacentral:tRNA from 1 species